ensembl:lncRNA
ACACACACACACACACACACACACACACACACUCCUCUCCUGUGUUCAGUAAUGCUGGAGUUUUGUGUUGUCAGGGGAGAAUGCGACCAUGAUGCUGUUACUGAAGAGGAACACUGAGCAGGUCCUCCACAGUGUGAGCCACAUCCAUGACCUGCUCAGCACCCUGCAGGCAGUGGUAGUCCAGCAGGACAGCUUCAUUGAGGAUCAGCGCCAGGCUCUCACCAACCGCCCUGAACGCCUCACCUCCUUCUUCUCCUCCCGUCCCUCCUCCCGCCACAACUCCUGAUCGAGCAGGAGAAACAGCGCAGCCUGGAGAAACACAGGCAGGAGGCGGCCAUCGCUGCAGCGCCAGCAGGCCACACACGACCAGGAGAAGAGGAGGAGGGAGAGGGAGUGGGAGGUGCGGGAGCAGCAGCUGACAGACAGGGAGGUGCAGCUCCUGGUACAGGAAGAGGAGACGGGGAGGAGGAGCAGGGAGCUAGUUACGGAGAGGGUGGAGCUACAAAGGAAGAAGAAGGACUAUCUGAUAGAUCUAGAGCGACUGAGAGACGCUCAGGGAAACUAGAUCGAGACAGAGAAAACAUACAGCGAGAAAUGGAGAGGGUAGAACACAUGAGAAUGGCUAAGAGGUGGAUACAGAGAACUCCCUCUUCUACCUCAGACGACUCCCCCCACUUCCCCUCCUCUACCUCCCUGGACAAAGAUCCAAUGGACCCGACUGAGCUCUCCUCCUCUCCCAGGAAAGAAUCCCUGACCUCGUCAAAAGGGAAGAGCCUAAGCCCUUUCUCUGAGGCCACGGCCCUAAAGGCCCCUAGUGGAGACAGUCAGAACCAGAUACCUAACAAACUGCUGCAACUGGCUAAAGACAGGAGCAAGAACAAGAAGGACAAGAAGAAGAAGGAACAGGGUACACAGUCACCAGAUACCCAGCACCUAGAGCCUCCUCUAGAUGGAGAGAUCUACUUCUGUUGAGGAGACCCCUCUUCAUCUCCUCCGAUGUCAAUGCAACGUCCCUCUCACCAGCUGAAUGGAAGGCCAAGUUGCCAAAGUGCCCCCAUCGUCAAACCCUCUAAGUCCUCACAAACACUCCCAACUGACACACAAUAGGAAGUGGAAGGUCUCUCAUCAUGUGAGUCAUAAGCUCCAGCUGCAAUGUUCUGUCUCAGUGCUCACUACAGAUUGGCUCCUGACUGUCACCUGCUAAAAAAUAUAACAAUAAGGACACUGUUUCUAUGUUAGAUACUGUAGGUUAAAGAUUGUCUAUAACAAUAAAGACACUGUGUCUAUGUUAGAUACUGUAGGUUAAAGAUAGUCUAUAACAAUAAGAAACUGCUUCUAUGUUAGAUACUGUAGGUUAAAGAUUGUCUAUAACAAUAAGGACACUGUUUCUAUGUUAGAUACUGUAGGUUAAAGAUUGUCUAUAACAAUAAGGACACUGCUUCUAUGUUAGAUACUGUAGGUUAAAGAUUGUCUAUAACAAUAAGGACACUGUUUCUAUGUUAGAUACUGUAGGUUAAAGAUUGUCUAUAACAAUAAGGACACUGUUUCUAUGUUAGAUACUGUAGGUUAAAUAUUGUCUAUAACAAUAAGGACACUGUUUCUAUGUUAGAUACUGUGCUCCUGAUGUGCUUGACAUGUUGCAAUAAUCUCAAUACAUUUUACAUGUGAUGCUAUUGAUCACAUGAAUCAUCUUUUCUGGUGCAUGUCCAAGAUCGAUAAUCAAUAUGUUGUUUAUACAGAUCAGUCUACACAAUAUUGAUACUAUAUAGUCCCAUAAGAACUGGAGAAAACUCAGACUGAUGUCAGUUGAUCGUUGUUGUGGUUCAAUGUUUAAGAGCCACUUGUUACUAAUACCUGAAGAACCAGAGAACACAUAUGGAAUCAUGUUGUAACCAAAAAUACGUUAAACAAAUCAAAAUAUAUUUUAUAUUUCAGAUUCUUAAAAGUAGCCACCCGUUGCCUUGAUGACAGCUUUGCACACUCUUGGCCUUCUCUCAACCAGCUUCAUGAGGUAGUCACCUGGAUUUAAAAAAAAUUAAUAGGCGUGCCUUGAUUAAAGUACAUUUGUGGAAUUUCUUUCCUUCUUAGGAAUGGUAUACAGAAUAUAGCCCUAUUUGGUAAAUGACCAGGUCCAUAUUAUGGAAAGAUCAGCUCAAAUCAGCAAAGAGAAACGACAGCCCAUCAUUACUUUACGACAUGAAGGUCAGUCCGUACGGAAAAUGUCAAGAACUUUGAAAGUGCAAUCGCAAAAACCAUCAAGUGCUCUGAUGAAACUGCCUCAUGAGGACCGCUACAAGAAAGGAAGACCCAGAGUUUCCUCUGCUGCAGAGGAUAAGUACAUUACAGUUCGCUGUACCUCAGAUUGCAGCCUAUAUAAAUGCUUCAGAGUUCAAGUAAGAGACACAUCUCAACAUCAACUGUUCAGAGGAGACUGUUUGAAUCAGGCCUUCGUGGUCAAAUUGAUGCAAAGAAACCACUACUAAAGGACACCAAUAGGAAGAAGAGACUUGCUGGGCCAAGAAACACGAGCAAUGGACAUUAGACCGGUGGAAAUCUGUCCUUUGGUCUGAUGAGUCCAAUUUUGAAAUGUUUGGUUCCAACCACCAUGUCUUUGUGAGAUGCAGAGUAGGUGAAUGGAUGAUCUCCACAUGUGUGGUUCCCACCUUGAAGCAUGGAGGAGGAUGUGUGAUGGUGCUUUGUUGGUGACACUGUCUGUGAUUUAUUUAGAAUUCAAGGCACAAUUAACCAGCAUGCUUACCGCAGCAUUCUGCAGCGAUACGCCAUCCCAUCUGGUUUGCGCUUAGUGGGACUAUCAUUUGUCUAUCAACAGGACAACGACCCAAAACACACCUCCAGGCUGUGUAAGGGAUAUUUGACCAAGAAGGAGAGUGAUGGAGUGCUACAUCAGAUGACCUGGCAUCCACAAUCAUCUGACCUCAACCCAAUUGAGAUGGUUUGGGAUGAGUUGGGCCGCAGAGUGAUGGAAAAGCAGCCAACAAGUGCUCAGCAUAUGUGGGAACUCCUUCAAGACUGUUGGAAAAGCAUUCCAGGUGAAGCUGGUUGAGAGAAUGCCAAGAGUAUGCAAAGCGGUCAUCAAGGCAAAGGGUGGCUACUUUGAAAAAUCUCAAAUAUAUUUGUUCUUUGUUUAAAACUUCUUAGGGCUGAGAUCCCGUUAACGGAUCGAUUUGACAACAACCAGUGAAAGUGCAGGACCCCAAAUUCAAACAACAGAAAUCUCAUAAUUAAAAUUCCUCAAACAUACAAGUAUUAAACACCAUUUUAAAGGUAAUCGUGUUGUUAAUCCCACCACAGUGUCCGAUUUCAAAUAGGCUUUACAGUGAAAGCUCCACAAACGAUUAUGUUAGGUCAGAGCCAAGCAACAGAAAAACACAGCCAUCUUUCCAGGCAAAGAGAGGAGUCACAAAAAUCUGAAAUAGAGAUAGAAUUAAUCACUAACCUUUGAUGAUCUUCAUCAGAUGACACUCAUAGGACUUCAUGUUAGACAAUACAUUUAUGUUUUGUUCGAUAAAGUUCAUUUUAUAUAAAGAAAUCUCAGUAUACAUUGGCGCGUUAUGUUCAGUAGUUCCAAAAACAUCCGGUGAUAUUGCAGAGAACAACAUCAAUUUACAGAAAUACUCAUUUUAAAUGUUGAUGAAAAUACAAGUGCUUUACAGCGAAUGCACCACAAACUAUUAUGUUAGGAGAAUCUAUUAUGUUAGGAGAAUCUAUUAUGUUAGGAGAAUCUAUUAUGUUAGGAGAAUCUAUUAUGUUAGGAGAAUCUAUUAUGUUAGGAGAAUCUAUUAUGUUAGGAGAAUCUAUUAUGUUAGGAGAAUCUAUUAUGUUGAAGAAUCUAAAAUAUGAAAUAUAUUUUGAUUUGUUUAACACUUUUUUGGUUACUACGUGAUUCCAUAUGUGUUAUUUCCUAGUUUUUAUGUCUUCACUAUUAUUCUACAAUGUAGAAAAUAGUAAAAACUAAAAACCCUUGAGUGAGUAGGUGUGUCAACUUUUGACUGGUAUUGUAUAUAAAUCCCCAACGUAACAACAGGUCCAAUCAUGACGUCCGUCAGAAUGGGGAAUGCAAACAAUUGUGCUAAUGAUAAAAUGCUAAAAUGAAUCAUUUUCACCUGACAGUAUAUUUGACUUGUUAACCUUUCUUAGGGCUGCUCUGUCUGUCUGUCGAUUUUAUUUCAUAUGUGGGUUCAUUGUCCACAAGAUGAGUAUGGAGUAUGAAAUAAUACAACAUAAUGAGUAGUCAGGAGUUAGUUCCUUAUUAAAUGAAAUAAAUAAUUUAAUAGAAACACAAUGUGGACCCCUCAAUUGGCUCUGGUUAAAACUAGUGCACUAUGUAGGGAAUAGGGCUCUGGUCUAAAGUAGUGCACUAUAUAGGGAAUAGGGUGCCAUAGGGCUCUGGUCUAAAGUAGUGCACUAUGUAGGGAAUAGGGUUCCAUAUGGCUCUGGUCUAAAGUAGUGCACUAUGUAGGGAAUAGGGUGCCAUAGGGCUCUGGUCUAAAGUAGUGCACUAUAUAGGGAAUAGGGUACCAUUUGGGACUCUUGUUUAGCCUUCAAUAUAAAGAUGAAGUGUACAAAAUACAACCUAACAUCUUGUCAGGAUGAUCCACAGGUGGUUUUCGACCUCUGUCUUCGGGUUGAAAAGUUCCUGUAACUUUAAUACACUGAUCAGGGUUUACUGUUGAAUAUUCCCAGAAUAUUGAGGGAAGCAGGAAUCAGCGAUCCUCAGAUUUAUGGAAAGCCAGGGAUUCAGUAAUCCUCAGAUCUCUGGAAAACAAGGGAAUCAGCAAUCCUCAGAUCUCUGGAAAACCAGGGAAUCAGCGAUCCUCAGAUUUAUGGAAAAACAGGGAAUCAGCGAUCCUCAGAUUUAUGGAAAACCAGGGAAUCAGCAAUCCUCAGAUCUCUGGAAAACCAGGGAAUCAGCAAUCCUCAGAUCUCUGGAAAACCAGGGAAUCAGCGAUCCUCAGAUUUAUGGAAAAACAGGGAAUCAGCGAUCCUCAGAUUUAUGGAAAACCAGGGAAUCAGCAAUCCUCAGAUCUCUGGAAAACCAGGGAAUUCUUUUGAAAGUUACUGGAAUUCUGCAACCCUGCUCUGUUUGGAAAUUAAGGUACAGAAAUGUUCUCUUUCUGAAUAAUGUCAAAUAAUAAAACUAUGAAUAAACAAAUAUGUCAAAUAAAAAGACUGAUGUAAAAGUCUGAAUAAUUUGUUUUAGUGUUGAUCUGUGAUUUAUGUCAGCGUUUUAUGAUGAGACGUUAUCUCUGAUUCCCAGCUGUUUGGUGGAAUGUCACGUAAAGUCAUAUUUCCCUCAUAAUAAAGAACUCUUAUGGAAGUUAAU